rnacentral:rRNA from 1 species
CGUAGGUGGCGAGCGUUAUCCGGAUUUAUUGGGUUUAAAGGGUGCGUAGGCGGCUUAAUAAGUCGGUGGUCAAAGGUAGCAGCUUAACUGUUUUACAUGCCACCGAUACUGUUGAGCUUGAGAUAUGUGGAGGCAGAUGGAAUUUCCGGUGUAGCGGUGAAAUGCAUAGAUACCGGAAGGAACUCCUAUUGCGAAGGCAAUCUGCUACAGAUAAACUGACGCUGAUGCACGAAAGCGUGGGGAUCAAACAGGAUUAGAUACCCUGGUAGUCCACGCCGUAAACGAUGAUUUACUAGUUGUUGGCCCGCUGGGGGUCAGUGACCAAGGGAAACCGAUAAGUAAUCCACCUGGGGAGUACGCCGGCAACGGUG